ANAGUUUGAUCCUGGCUCAAAUUGAACGCUGGCGGCAGGCCUAACACAUGCAAGUCGAGCGGUAACAGGUCCAGCUUGCUGGAUGCUGACNAGCGGCGGACGGGUGAGUAAUGCAUAGGAAUCUGCCCGGUAGUGGGGGAUAACCUGGGGAAACUCAGGCUAAUACCGCAUACGUCCUACGGGAGAAAGCAGGGGAUCUUCGGACCUUGCGCUAUCGGAUGAGCCUAUGCCGGAUUANCUAGUUGGUGAGGUAAUGGCCCACCAAGGCGACGAUCCGUAGCUGGUCUGAGAGGAUGAUCAGCCACAUCGGGACUGAGACACGGCCCGAACUCCUACGGGAGGCAGCAGUGGGGAAUAUUGGACAAUGGGCGCAAGCCUGAUCCAGCCAUGCCGCGUGUGUGAANAAGGCCUUCGGGUUGCAAAGCACUUUCAGUGGGGAANAAAGCCUGGGACCUAAUACGUCCGAGGAAGGACAUCACCCACAGAANAAGCACCGGCUAACUCCGUGCCAGCAGCCGCGGUAAUACGGAGGGUGCGAGCGUUAAUCGGAAUUACUGGGCGUAAAGCGCGCGUAGGCGGUCUGAUAAGCCGGUUGUGAAAGCCCCGGGCUCAACCUGGGAACGGCAUCCGGAACUGUCAGGCUAGAGUGCAGGAGAGGAAGGUAGAAUUCCCGGUGUAGCGGUGAAAUGCGUANAGAUCGGGAGGAAUACCAGUGGCGAAGGCGGCCUUCUGGACUGACACUGACGCUGANGUGCGAAAGCGUGGGUAGCAAACAGGAUUAAAUACCCUGGUAAUCCACGCCGUAAACGAUGUCNACUANCCGUUGGG
rnacentral:rRNA from 1 species